rnacentral:misc_RNA from 1 species
AACGCACCUUGCGCUCCUUGGUAUUCCGAGGAGCAUGCCUGUUUGAGUGUCAUGAAAUUCUCAAACCCAUAAGUCUUUGCGGGCUUACGGGCUUUGGACUUGGAGGCUUUGUCGGCGACCGCGAGGUCUGUCGACUCCUCUCAAAUGCAUUAGCUUGAUUCCUUGCGGAUCGGCUCUCGGUGUGAUAAUUGUCUACGCCGUGACCGUGAAGCGUUUUGGCGAGCUUCUAAUCGUCUCUUACGAGACAGUUUACAUUGACCUCUGACCUCAAAUCAGGUAGGACUACCCGCUGAACUUAA